AUUGAACGCUGGCGGCAGGCCUAACACAUGCAAGUCGAACGAACCCUUCGGGGUUAGUGGCGGACGGGUGAGUAACACGUGGGAACGUGCCUUUAGGUUCGGAAUAACUCAGGGAAACUUGUGCUAAUACCGAAUGUGCCCUUCGGGGGAAAGAUUUAUCGCCUUUAGAGCGGCCCGCGUCUGAUUAGCUAGUUGGUGAGGUAAUGGCUCACCAAGGCUACGAUCAGUAGCUGGUCUGAGAGGAUGACCAGCCACAUUGGGACUGAGACACGGCCCAAACUCCUACGGGAGGCAGCAGUGGGGAAUCUUGCGCAAUGGGCGAAAGCCUGACGCAGCCAUGCCGCGUGGAUGAUGAAGGUCUUAGGAUUGUAAAAUCCUUUCACCGGUGAAGAUAAUGACUGUAGCCGGAGAAGAAGCCCCGGCUAACUUCGUGCCAGCAGCCGCCGUAACAC
rnacentral:rRNA from 1 species